GGAUAUUCCUGGUCCUCUUGGAGAGAAGGCUUCAGACAUAAUUGAAUCUCUCCCCAAUCUGAAUACUCUGAAUGGUAUUGACGUGGCAAAAAUAGUGAAUUCUGGAAAGCAUGUAAUUGAUUCCAUGCUUCUGCCUCGUCUCCCUGAUUGGGCUCCUGAGGAGCCUCUCCCUGAUCGUGUUAUAAGUGCAAUGUGGCAAUAUU
rnacentral:misc_RNA from 1 species